rnacentral:rRNA from 1 species
AACGAACGCUGGCGGCAGGCCUAACACAUGCAAGUCGAACGCUGUAGCAAUACAGAGUGGCAGACGGGUGAGUAACACGUGGGAAUCUUCCUAUCGGUACGGAAUAGCUCAGGGAAACUUGGGGUAAUACCGCAUACGCCCUUCGGGGGAAAGAUUUAUCGCCGAUAGAUGAGCCCGCGUCUGAUUAGCUAGUUGGUGAGGUAAUGGCUCACCAAGGCGACGAUCAGUAGCUGGUCUGAGAGGAUGACCAGCCACACUGGGACUGAGACACGGCCCAGACUCCUACGGGAGGCAGCAGUGGGGAAUAUUGGACAAUGGGCGCAAGCCUGAUCCAGCCAUGCCGCGUGAGUGACGAAGGUCUUCGGAUUGUAAAGCUCUUUUGGCGGGGACGAUAAUGACGGUACCCGCAGAAUAAGCCCCGGCUAACUUCGUGCCAGCCGCCGCAGUAA